GAUGAAUUCUUAGUUUCAGCAUUUUUAUAGUCUAUUUCAUAAAAUAUUUUGACUCUUAUGCAACGGUGUCCAUAUAUUCGCGAUAAAGACAUAUAAUUUGGACACAGUUAUUAAAUCAUCAGCCUAAAGUCUUUAAUAGACCCCAAUCGAACUUCAUUAAUCAAAAACCGCGUUUUAAAUAUAACCAAACAGUCAAAAUAAGCUGGUCAAU
rnacentral:lncRNA from 1 species